AUGAGAAAACAGUUGAAGAAAGAUUCUUUGAAGCUGUUUACCCAAUUGAAGCACAUAGAGACAUUGAGGAAGAGGAAGAAGUUGUUUCUACGGAACUGGAGAUCUCUCACGUUGAAGUGCCUGAGAUACCAAAGAGGCAUGUUCCAGAAGAAAGAAAGCCUGUUCCUGUGCCUAAAGCAGAAGCUCCACCAGCUAAAGUGCCUGAAGCCCCUAAGAAACCUGUUCCAGAAAAGAAAGUUGCUGUUGCUAAAAAGGAGGUGGCUCCCCCAG
rnacentral:lncRNA from 1 species